rnacentral:rRNA from 1 species
CGGCCGCGGUAUUUUGACCGUGCAAAGGUAGCGCAAUCACUUGUCUUUUAAAUAGAGACCUGUAUGAAUGGCUAAACGAGGGCUUAACUGUCUCCCCUUUCCAGUCAGUGAAAUUGAUCUGCCCGUGCAGAAGCGGACAUAACAAUACAAGACGAGAAGACCCUUUGGAGCUUAAGGUACAAAAUAUAACCACGUUAAGCAACUCAUUAAAAAGCAAAAACCUUGUGGAACAUGUAAUUUUACCUUCGGUUGGGGCGACCACGGAGGAAAACAAAGCCUCCAAGUGGACUGGGACAAUUUCCUAAAACCAAGAGAAACACCUCUAAGCCACAGAACAUCUGACCAAAUAUGAUCCGGCUAUCAAAGCCGAUCAACGAACCAAGUUACCCUAGGGAUAACAGCGCAAUCCUCUCCCAGAGUCCAUAUCGACGAGAGGGUUUACGACCUCGAUGUUGGAUCAGGACAUCCUAAUGGUGCAGCCGCUAUUAAGGGUU